rnacentral:lncRNA from 1 species
UGAGGGGCUCUGCUGGGGGAAGGGGUCCGGUGGCAGGGGCUGAGCUGUGAGGGCCGCUGCAGCCUCCUGGACAUGCUGCCUUGGGCCAGGCCCGCCAGUGUGGACCUCAGUUUCUCCAGGUGCAAGGGGGGGGCCUGGCCCUGACCUUCAAGUUCCUCCCAGUGCUGACCUUGCUGUGACCUUUUGGAAGGGAGGCCUCCCAGGGAAGCCUCCAGGACCCCACCCUGCACAGUCUGUAGGGAGCAGGAAAAAGGACGACACCAGAGACCCCUGCAGCCGGUCCUGGCCUCCCUGUGAGCCACUAUAACACAAAGCUAAUAUGAAUAAAGAAGAAAGAAGACAUAGAGAGAGAGCUGGGUCUUGGGGCUGAUCGGGGGGCUGCUUUGGGCAGCAAAGACAAAGGCCCCCAAGGACAGCCAGGAUUUACUGGUUACAAGCAUGGGAAGAAAGACUGGGAAGGCACCUGAAGGUUCUGAUCGGGGCCUCGGUGGCCUCCGUCCUGCUGCUGCUGCUGCUCCUCCUCCUCCUCGUCCUCCGACACUGGCGUCAGGGCGAAAGCAGGAAG